GAUGAACGCUGGCGGCGUGCUUAACACAUGCAAGUCGAACGGUGAAGGCGUAACUUGCUCUGCUGGAUCAGUGGCGAACGGGUGAGUAACACGUGAGCAAUCUGCCCCUGACUCUGGGAUAAGCGCUGGAAACGGCGUCUAAUACUGUAUACGAGCUGCGAAGGCAUCUUCAGCAGCUGGAAAUAACUUCGGUCAGGGAUGAGCUCGCGGCCUAUCAGCUUGUUGGUUAGGUAACGGCUCACCAAGGCGUCGACGGGUAGCCGGCCUGAGAGGGUGACCGGCCACACUGGGACUGAGACACGGCCCAGACUCCUACGGGAGGCAGCAGUGGGGAAUAUUGCACAAUGGGCGAACGCCUGAUGCAGCAACGCCGCGUGAGGGACGACGGCCUUCGGGUUGUAAAACUCUUUUAGCAGGGAAGAAGCGAAAGUGACGGUACCUGCAGAAAAAGCGCCGGCUAACUACGUG
rnacentral:rRNA from 1 species